rnacentral:rRNA from 1 species
AACGCGAAGAAUCCUUACCUGCGCCUUGACAUCCUGGGAACCCCGAAGAGAUUCGGGGGUGCCGCAAGGAGCCCAGAGUACAGGUGCUGCAUGGCUGUUUUCAGCUCGUGUCGUGAGAUGUUGGGUUAAGUCCCGCAACGAGCGCAACCCUUGUCCUUAGUUGCCAGCAUUAAGUUGGGCACUCUAAGGAGACCGCCGGUGACAAACCGGAGGAAGGUGGGGAUGACGUCAAGUCAUCAUGGCCUUUAUGGCCAGGGCUACGCACGUGCUACAAUGGUGGAAACAGAGGGAAGCCAACGCGCGAGCGGGAGCCAAUCCCAGAAAAUCCAUCGUAGUCCGGAUUGGAGUCUGCAACUCGACUCCAUGAAGUCGGAAUCGCUAGUAAUCGCAGAUCAGCAUUGCUGCGGUGAAUACUGUUCCCGGGUCUUGUACACACCG